GAGGAAAGUCCGGGCUUCAUAGAGCAAGGUGCCAGGUAACGCCUGGGGGGCGCAAGCCUACGACAAGUGCAGCAGAGAGAAGACCGCCGAUGACCCGCAAGGGAACAGGUAAGGGUGAAAGGGUGCGGUAAGAGCGCACCGGACGACUAGUAAUAGUUCGUAGCAGGGUAAACUCCACCUGAAGCAAGACCAAAUAGGCCUCCACAUUGCGUUGCUCGCGUAAGGAGGCGGGUAGGUUGCUCGAGCCAGUGAGUGAUUGCUGGCCUAGACGAAUGGCUACCGCCGCGCAAGCGGAACAGAACCCGGCUUA
rnacentral:RNase_P_RNA from 3 species